AGUGAACGCUGGCGUUAGGCUUAACACAUGCAAGUCGAACGGCAGCACAGGAGAGCUUGCUCUCUGGGUGGCGAUGGCGGACGGUUGAGGAAUGCAUCGGAAUCUAUCUUUCGUGGGGGAUAACGUAGGGAAACUUACGCUAAUACCGCAUACGACCUACGGGUGAAAGCCGGGGACCUUCGGGCCUGGCGCGAAAGAAUGAGCCGAUGCCCGAUUAGCUAGUUGGCGGGGUAAGAGCCCACCAAGGCGACGAUCGGUAGCUGGUCUGAGAGGAUGAUCAGCCACACUGGAACUGAGACACGGUCCAGACUCCUACGGGAGGCAGCAGUGGGGAAUAUUGGACAAUGGGCGCAAGCCUGAUCCAGCCAUACCGCGUGGGUGAAGAAGGCCUUUCGGGUUGUAAAGCCCUUUUGUUGGGAAAGAAAAGCAGUCGGUUAAUACCCCGAUUGUUCUGACGGUACCCAAAGAAUAAGCACCGGCUAAUUC
rnacentral:rRNA from 1 species